rnacentral:rRNA from 1 species
UUAUUCUGAAUGUAAAUUUUAACCAUGGUAUUAAUAGUUAUGUUCUUUAAAUUAAAAGAAUUUGGCGGUAAUUUAGUCUUUUCAGAGGAACCUGUUCUAUAAUUGAUAAUCCACGUUGGAUUUUACUUUAAUUUUUGGUUUGUAUAUCUCUGUCAUUGAAUGUUUUAUUAGGAUAUUUUCUUUAAUUAUUAAUUUGGUUAAUGUCAGGUCAAGGUGCAGUUAUAUUAAAGGUUGAAAUGGGUUACAUUUAAGGUUUAUUUAUUGGUUAAAUAUCAGUUGUAAUAUUUAUUUAUUAAAAAGGAUUUGAAAGUAAUUUUUAUUAGUUUAUAAAAAUGAUUUUAGCUCUAAAUUAUGUACAUAUCGCCCGUCACUCUCAUUUAUAAGAUGGGAUAAGUCGUAACAAAGUAAUUCUAUUGGAAAAUGGAGUUGGAUUUAUGCAAGUUAGGUUCUAGGAAUGUUAUUAUUUACAAUAAUAAUUAGAUUGUGCAAUUCGAUCUAGCUUGAAUUUUAAAUUUUAUAUUACUUUUAUAUAUUUAGUUUAUUUUUUAUUUAAUCAGAAAUAUCUUUUUUUAUUGGUAAUUUUAUUGACCUUAUUAUUUUAUUAGUUAUAGCUUAUUUUACUGUGAAGGAUUUAUUUUUAUUUUAUUAAAAGCAUACUUUUUUUGUAUUACCUUUUGUAUCAGGGUUUAUCAAUUUUAUAUUAAUUAUUUAAUUUUCCCGAAAUUAAAAGAGAUAUAUUAUAAUGAUUUUUUAUGUUUCAUAAUAAUUUUUAAUUUUAAUAUAGGGGUUAUAUGCUAUUCAAUUUUAAAUAUCUGGUUUUCUAAUACAUUAAUUUAAUUAAGAUUAACAUUCAUAGGUUGAUAUAUAAAUUUAUUUUAUUCAAUUUUGUUAAUUAAGUUUAUAGGGGAUAAGCUCUAUUGAAUAUUUUAUAAUAAUAAUUUUAAUUUAAGGGUUAUUAGGCUUGAUAACAGCCAUUAUUUAUUUCGUUUCAGUUAAUUCUUAUUUAUUUUUUAUUUAUUUUUUAUUUAAGAUUUUAUUAGAAUUUUGUGUUUAUUAAUUUAUUACAAGUAAUAAUGAUAUAAUUAGUAGUUUAGUAAUUCUGAAUUUAGGAAUUCGGCAAUUUUAAUUUCCGCCUGUUUAACAAAAACAUGUCCUAUAGUUUUAUUUAUUUUAGGUCGGGCCUGCCCAGUGAUUAUUUUUAAACGGCCGCAGUAUUUUGACUGUGCGAAGGUAGCAUAAUCAUUUGUCUUUUAAUUGAAGGCUAGUAUGAAAGGUUUGACGAGAAAUUAACUUUCUUAAUUCAGAUUUUAUGAAUUUGAUUUUUUAGUUAAAAAGCUUAAAUUAUUUUGCUAGACGAGAAGACCCUGUAGAAUUUUAUUUAUUUAUUUUUUAUUUAUUUUUUGGGUAAUGUUUAUUUUUAUUUAUUGAUAAAUUUUGUUGGGGCGAUAUUGAAAUUUAUUCAACUUUCAUUUAUUUUAUUUCAUUAAUUAGUGUAUUUUUUGAUCCUCAUUUUGUGAUUGACAGAUUAAAUUACCUCAGGGAUAACAGCGUAAUUUUCUUGGAGAGUUCUUAUCGAUAAGGGAGU